CAAAAUCGAAAGCCCAACUGAGAGUACUCGGUCUGCGGUCUCACUUUCUCCUCCGCCGUUGAUCUCCGACUCUAUCCUCAGAAGCAAGCCACCAACGAAAAGGCGGAGAGAGACGGAGUGGAAUACCCCUACUCACUCCAAAGCUUAAACCCACCCGCCAUGGACUCCCUUCAAGCCACCUACAGAGAGGAAGAUGACGAAGUGGACGAGUCCGUACAUCCCACCACCAACGAACCGCCACCUGGUGAUAAUACUGCCGCUGAACCCCUAAACGACGUGAAACCGGAGCCCAUGAGCUCCGACUCCGACGACCCACCUUCCUCUGACACCAAAAAAUCCCCCAGAUCCACCCACAACGGUGCCACCAACACCAACGAGAACGACAACGAUACCACCACUACUAACACCAUAAACAACAACAACGACGAGGACGAGGAUGACGAAGAAGAUGACGAGGAAGACCCUCCUCCCAAGAAGCAGAAACUUCUCUCAUCUCUCACUACCCCGCCUCUAAUCCCCGGUAAAGCUGCCCCAAUGGAGGACGUCCCGAACCCUUCUACGACGACGACACCACCAACAACUGGGACGACCGUGAAGAAAUAUAAGAAGAAGAACAAUAACGUGUGGGUUACAAAGUCAACUCGCAAAAGCAAGAAGAAGAAUAAGUCGAAUAACCACCACAACACCCCGGCCGAGGAAAUCGUCCUCAUUACCCCGAUCCAGAAGUUCCCGGACAAGUCAGACGACACCCAGGACAUGAAAAUCUGCCUCUCGAAGAUUUACAAGGCCGAGAAAGUCGAACUGAGCGACGACAGAUUGAGCGCCGGGAGCACCAAAGGGUACAGGAUGGUUAGAGCGACUAGAGGGGUCGUGGAGGGCGCGUGGUACUUCGAGAUUAAAGUUGUGAGAUUGGGAGCGUCGGGCCACACGCGCCUCGGGUGGUCCACUGAGAAAGGGGACCUCCAGGCGCCUGUUGGGUAUGACGGGAACAGUUUCGGGUACAGAGACAUUGAUGGGAGCAAGGUGCACAAGACGUUGAGGGAGAAGUAUGGGGAAGAGGGGUAUAAGGAAGGUGAUGUUAUUGGGUUCUACAUUAGUUUGCCGGAGGGAGGUUUGUGCCCGCCGAAGCCUCCGCAUUUGGUUUUGUAUAAGGGGCAGAGGUAUUCAUGCGCGCCGGAUGCCAAGGAGGAGGCCCCAAAAGUGGUGCCUGGUAAGCGGUUCUUCGCCCUGUAACGUGUACUAUAUAAAUUUCUGGAAAAACUAUACUUGUAAGCCGGUGCGGAGGCCACGCUCUCCACAGCCGACAUGAUAAUAUUUGAUUCGCAAGAAAGCCCUGUUUCUAGCUAUUGUUGGAAGUGAGAUAUCUUUCUUCAAGAAUGGGAUCUGUCAAGGAGUUGCUUUCAAGGAUCUAUGUGAUGGUCGCUACUACCCUACUGCUUCAAUGUACACUCUUCCAAAUCAGCCAAAUUGUGUAGUCAACUUCAACUUUGGCCCUGAUUUUGAAUUCUUUCCGGCGGACUUUAAUGAACGUCCUGUGCCUAGGCCCAUGGUUGAAGUUCCUUAUCAUGGGUUUGAGAACCGAGUUGAAAAUGGAGUGUCAACUGAGAAGAAACAUUAGCCAGCAAGCGGCACGUUUCAACCUUAACACUUGCAGAGCUGGGAGUUGGAUCUGAGUUUAACAUUCUGUUGUAAAUUAUUUUCCGUUAAAUUACGACUGAAAAAAUUAUUCAAUGACAUUGUAAACUCGACCUUUCAAUGGAAGAGAGAAAACCUGCAUGUGAAAUAUAGUAAUGAUAUUGCUUGAGCCCAAUGACA